AGCGAACGUUUGCGGCGGGCCUAACACAUGCAAGUCGAACGGGCAGGGGCAACCCUGUCAGUGGCGCACGGGUGCGUAACACGUGGGUAAUCAACCCUUUGGACUGGGACAACCCGGGGAAACUCGGGCUAAUACCGGAUGUGGCGUGGCGGUCCUCGGACUGCUCCGCGAAAGCUCCGCAAGGGGCACCAGAGGACGAGCCCGCGUCCCAUCAGCUAGUUGGUGAGGUAAUGGCUCACCAAGGCGAAGACGGGUAGCUGGUCUGAGAGGAUGAUCAGCCACACUGGAACUGAGACACGGUCCAGACUCCUACGGGAGGCAGCAGUGGGGAAUAUUGCGCAAUGGGCGAAAGCCUGACGCAGCCACGCCGCGUGUGCGAUGAAGGUCUUCGGAUCGUAAAGCACUGUGGGGGGAGAAGAAACAAGCCGGUGAAGAGCCGGCCCUGACGGUAUCCCCUUAGCAAGCACCGGCUAACUCCGUGCCAGCAGCCGCGGUAAAGUG
rnacentral:rRNA from 1 species